GGGUUGUGAGGUUAAGCGACUAAGCGUACACGGUGGAUGCCCUGGCAGUCAGAGGCGAUGAAGGACGUGCUAAUCUGCGAUAAGCGUCGGUAAGGUGAUAUGAACCGUUAUAACCGGCGAUUUCCGAAUGGGGAAACCCAGUGUGUUUCGACACACUAUCAUUAACUGAAUCCAUAGGUUAAUGAGGCGAACCGGGGGAACUGAAACAUCUAAGUACCCCGAGGAAAAGAAAUCAACCGAGAUUCCCCCAGUAGCGGCGAGCGAACGGGGAGCAGCCCAGAGCCUGAAUCAGUGUGUGUGUUAGUGGAAGCGUCUGGAAAGGCGUGCGAUACAGGGUGACAGCCCCGUACACAAAAAUGCACAUAUUGUGAGCUCGAUGAGUAGGGCGGGACACGUGGUAUCCUGUCUGAAUAUGGGGGGACCAUCCUCCAAGGCUAAAUACUCCUGACUGACCGAUAGUGAACCAGUACCGUGAGGGAAAGGCGAAAAGAACCCCGGCGAGGGGAGUGAAAAAGAACCUGAAACCGUGUACGUACAAGCAGUGGGAGCACGCUUAGGCGUGUGACUGCGUACCUUUUGUAUAAUGGGUCAGCGACUUAUAUUCUGUAGCAAGGUUAACCGAAUAGGGGAGCCGAAGGGAAACCGAGUCUUAACUGGGCGUUAAGUUGCAGGGUAUAGACCCGAAACCCGGUGAUCUAGCCAUGGGCAGGUUGAAGGUUGGGUAACACUAACUGGAGGACCGAACCGACUAAUGUUGAAAAAUUAGCGGAUGACUUGUGGCUGGGGGUGAAAGGCCAAUCAAACCGGGAGAUAGCUGGUUCUCCCCGAAAGCUAUUUAGGUAGCGCCUCGUGAAUUCAUCUCCGGGGGUAGAGCACUGUUUCGGCAAGGGGGUCAUCCCGACUUACCAACCCGAUGCAAACUGCGAAUACCGGAGAAUGUUAUCACGGGAGACACACGGCGGGUGCUAACGUCCGUCGUGAAGAGGGAAACAACCCAGACCGCCAGCUAAGGUCCCAAAGUCAUGGUUAAGUGGGAAACGAUGUGGGAAGGCCCAGACAGCCAGGAUGUUGGCUUAGAAGCAGCCAUCAUUUAAAGAAAGCGUAAUAGCUCACUGGUCGAGUCGGCCUGCGCGGAAGAUGUAACGGGGCUAAACCAUGCACCGAAGCUGCGGCAGCGACGCUGAUGCGUUGUUGGGUAGGGGAGCGUUCUGUAAGCCUGCGAAGGUGUGCUGUGAGGCAUGCUGGAGGUAUCAGAAGUGCGAAUGCUGACAUAAGUAACGAUAAAGCGGGUGAAAAGCCCGCUCGCCGGAAGACCAAGGGUUCCUGUCCAACGUUAAUCGGGGCAGGGUGAGUCGACCCCUAAGGCGAGGCCGAAAGGCGUAGUCGAUGGGAAACAGGUUAAUAUUCCUGUACUUGGUGUUACUGCGAAGGGGGGACGGAGAAGGCUAUGUUGGCCGGGCGACGGUUGUCCCGGUUUAAGCGUGUAGGCUGGUUUUCCAGGCAAAUCCGGAAAAUCAAGGCUGAGGCGUGAUGACGAGGCACUACGGUGCUGAAGCAACAAAUGCCCUGCUUCCAGGAAAAGCCUCUAAGCAUCAGGUAACAUCAAAUCGUACCCCAAACCGACACAGGUGGUCAGGUAGAGAAUACCAAGGCGCUUGAGAGAACUCGGGUGAAGGAACUAGGCAAAAUGGUGCCGUAACUUCGGGAGAAGGCACGCUGAUAUGUAGGUGAAGUCCCUCGCGGAUGGAGCUGAAAUCAGUCGAAGAUACCAGCUGGCUGCAACUGUUUAUUAAAAACACAGCACUGUGCAAACACGAAAGUGGACGUAUACGGUGUGACGCCUGCCCGGUGCCGGAAGGUUAAUUGAUGGGGUCAGCGCAAGCGAAGCUCUUGAUCGAAGCCCCGGUAAACGGCGGCCGUAACUAUAACGGUCCUAAGGUAGCGAAAUUCCUUGUCGGGUAAGUUCCGACCUGCACGAAUGGCGUAAUGAUGGCCAGGCUGUCUCCACCCGAGACUCAGUGAAAUUGAACUCGCUGUGAAGAUGCAGUGUACCCGCGGCAAGACGGAAAGACCCCGUGAACCUUUACUAUAGCUUGACACUGAACAUUGAGCCUUGAUGUGUAGGAUAGGUGGGAGGCUUUGAAGUGUGGACGCCAGUCUGCAUGGAGCCGACCUUGAAAUACCACCCUUUAAUGUUUGAUGUUCUAACGUGGACCCGUGAUCCGGGUUGCGGACAGUGUCUGGUGGGUAGUUUGACUGGGGCGGUCUCCUCCUAAAGAGUAACGGAGGAGCACGAAGGUUGGCUAAUCCUGGUCGGACAUCAGGAGGUUAGUGCAAUGGCAUAAGCCAGCUUGACUGCGAGCGUGACGGCGCGAGCAGGUGCGAAAGCAGGUCAUAGUGAUCCGGUGGUUCUGAAUGGAAGGGCCAUCGCUCAACGGAUAAAAGGUACUCCGGGGAUAACAGGCUGAUACCGCCCAAGAGUUCAUAUCGACGGCGGUGUUUGGCACCUCGAUGUCGGCUCAUCACAUCCUGGGGCUGAAGUAGGUCCCAAGGGUAUGGCUGUUCGCCAUUUAAAGUGGUACGCGAGCUGGGUUUAGAACGUCGUGAGACAGUUCGGUCCCUAUCUGCCGUGGGCGCUGGAGAACUGAGGGGGGCUGCUCCUAGUACGAGAGGACCGGAGUGGACGCAUCACUGGUGUUCGGGUUGUCAUGCCAAUGGCACUGCCCGGUAGCUAAAUGCGGAAGAGAUAAGUGCUGAAAGCAUCUAAGCACGAAACUUGCCCCGAGAUGAGUUCUCCCUGACUCCUUGAGAGUCCUGAAGGAACGUUGAAGACGACGACGUUGAUAGGCCGGGUGUGUAAGCGCAGCGAUGCGUUGAGCUAACCGGUACUAAUGAACCGUGAGGCUUAACCUUACAACGCCGAAGGUGUUU
rnacentral:rRNA from 1 species